UACAUUGACCUGGGGCGCGAUUCACAUCUCAACCGAAAUAUUUGUAAAGCGAUACGAACGAGUUACGAGAUGAAAUCCGCAAUGUUUAAAAACGCGAUUCAUAGCACACAUACUUUGAUCUCGUUUUCAUAUCGCUAGUUCGUAUUUGGAUGGCUUGAGUGAAAUGAAUGAAACUAUAUUUUUUUUAAUUGCUAUGCAAAAAUUAUAAAUACUACCACUAAUUGUUUUAAAUAAUUUUGUUCCUACAAUAUAUUUUGUUGGAAUUAGUGUCGAUAGCAAGUAUCAAGAAACAGCUUUUUAAUUCAACGUUGAAGAAAUUCAUAACCUGUGGCACUUUUGACAGCCGCCAUGUUUUCUCCAUAAAAAACAUUGAUUUUCUUUGCUCAUUUUCGUGUCAACGUAGUUUUUUUGGAAAAUAAGAAGAAUGGAAGUUUAACUUACUUAGAGAAAUACGACUGAGACAUAAACACAAGCAGCAGCCGAUGUGCUUGAGUAGCAGAAGGAGCAACUGCGUUGUGAGAGGGCCACGGCUUCAACCCUCACAAUGAUAGCUGAUUAGCUGAAGUAAUGAACAGACAGGCUGCAGUCAAUGAGAGGCUUCUUGAGGAGGUGUUCCUCAUAUGGAAAUCGUAGGUUAUUCCUAAAUGUUUGGCUAAAUAAUAGAAUAGAAUUUAACUUCAUUGUUACCCCAAUAAUGUCUUAGGAAAACUGGUGUUGAAUAUUUAUGUUACAGCGUAGUUUUGUUUAGUAUCUGUCUGUAAUUUUUUAGAACAAUAUCAUACUGAACUUUUCAUUUUGUCUUUUCUAGGCUAAUGAAAGGAACAAUCAAGACCAGACUUAAAGUAAAAUAAUACGUAUACAUAAUUUAUAUCGGAAUAAGUACAAAAUAUUUUUGUAGGUAUAUGUUUUAACUAUAAAUUGAAAAUCCACAGAUUUUAGCGGCGACGCAGUUGCGCGACCAGUGAAGCUCUGGCUCCGCGACCGGCGUGGAGCGCGCGGUCAGCGCGGCGCUGCUGCGGCUGCUGCGCGGGAGGAUCCCGUCCCUGCGCAUGCGCCUGGCCUUCAAUGACCUCACGCCUCUCUUCUUCCUCUUCUUCAUGCGUCAAUUCAAACAGAGGAGCACCUGUGAUUACUGAUUACCUAAGUUCCUAUAUACAAUAAUAGUUUAAUAAUUGUUAACAAAAUAUUGUAUAUAUAAGUAUUAAUAAUUACUUAUACAAAAGGCUAAAAGCAUUUUGUACCAGCCAACCUAUAGGAGAGAAUAUGAGAAAAAUAAUAAGACUUUAAUCUUUGAUUGCCAUUAUCUGUAGCUUUAUUAAGUGGUAAAGGGACCUAAUUACUACCUAUAUUUUUUUAGUAUUUGUGAUAAUUCAUAGAAUUUAUUAGUUCUAUCAAUAAAUAAAAUAUACAUGCAUUACAAUGUGUUUAAUUCAUUAACUUACAAUUUGCACACUGAGGGAA